rnacentral:rRNA from 1 species
GGACGAACGCUGGCGGCGUGCUUAACACAUGCAAGUCGAACGGAAAGGCCCCCACCUUGGUGGGGGUGCUCGAGUGGCGAACGGGUGAGUAACACGUGGGUGAUCUGCCCUGUACUUCGGGAUAAGCUUGGGAAACUGGGUCUAAUACCGGAUAGGACCAUGGUUUAGUGUCUCAUGGUGGAAAAAUUAUUGUUUUGGUGCAGGAUGAGCUCGCGGCCUAUCAGCUUGUUGGUGGGGUAAUGGCCUACCAAGGCGUCGACGGGUAGCCGGCCUGAGAGGGUGGACGGCCACAUUGGGACUGAGAUACGGCCCAGACUCCUACGGGAGGCAGCAGUGGGGAAUAUUGCACAAUGGGCGCAAGCCUGAUGCAGCGACGCCGCGUGGGGGAUGACGGCCUUCGGGUUGUAAACUCCUUUCGUUAGGGACGAAGCCACACCUUUUUUGGGUGUGGUGACGGUACCUUUGUUAAGAAGCACCGGCUAACUACGUG